rnacentral:ncRNA from 1 species
UUUAAUUUUAGGACAAGAAAAGAAAAAUAUAUUUACAGCAAGUGAGAGUUGAUGGAAGUCUCAUAUUCCCUGUUUUUCGGAUUAUCACCUAAAUUAUUCUAAGCCCAAGUCAAGUAAGUUUAGACGCUGUACACGUUACGUACGUAAGAGUUCUCACUUUUCGUGAGAAAAAUUAAGGUGGUACCACGGUCUUUCGUCCUUUUU